rnacentral:rRNA from 1 species
UACGGGGGGGGCAAGCGUUGUUCGGAAUUACUGGGCGUAAAGGGCUCGUAGGCGGCCAACUCAGUCGGACGUGAAAUCCCUCGGCUUAACCGGGGAACUGCGUCCGAUACUGGAUGGCUUGAGUGUGGGAGAGGGAUGCGGAAUUCCAGGUGUAGCGGUGAAAUGCGUAGAUAUCUGGAGGAACACCGGUGGCGAAGGCGGCAUCCUGGACUACUACUGACACUGAGGAGCGAAAGCCAGGGGAGCAAACGGG